GCCGGGCAUGAUGGCACAUGCCUGUAAUCCCAGCUACUCGGGAGGCUGAGGCAGGAGAAUCACUUGAAUCUGGGAGGCAGAGGUUGCAGUGAGCCAAGAUUGUACCAUUGCACUCCAGCUUGGGCAACAAGAGCGAAACUCCAUCUCAAAAAAAAAGUAAAAUAAAAUCAAAAUCAGACAAUUUUUUUUUUUUUUGAGACUGAGUUUCAUUCUUGUUGCCCAGGCUGGAAUGCAAUGGCACGAUCUUGGCUCACCGAAAACUCUGCCUCCCGGGUUCAAACGAUUAUCCUGCCC
rnacentral:lncRNA from 1 species